rnacentral:misc_RNA from 1 species
GAUGAAGAACGUAGCGAAAUGCGAUAAGUAAUGCGAAUUGCAGAAUUCCAGUGAGUCAUCGAAUCUUUGAACGCACAUUGCGCCCUUUGGUAUUCCGAAGGGCAUGCCUGUUCGAGCGUCAUUAUCACCCCUCAAGCCCUCGGCUUGGUGAUGGACGGUUUGGUGGAGGCCCCCUCGGGGGCUCCUGCCCCUCCCAAAGACAAUGACGGCGGCCUCGUUGGACCCCCGGUACACUGAGUUCUUCACGGGACACGUAUCGGACACAUGGGUUUACGGGACACGGUCUGCCUCCCCUCAGGGAGAAUCUUUCUAAGGUUGACCUCGGAUCAGGUAGGGAUACCCGCUGAACUUAAGCAUAUCAAUAAGCGGAGGA